UACGUAGGGUGCAAGCGUUGUCCGGAAUUAUUGGGCGUAAAGGGCUCGUAGGCGGUCUGUCACGUCGGGAGUGAAAACUCGGGCUUAACCUCGAGACGCCGAUGGAAACCAUCUAACUAGAGUCCGGAAGAGGAGAGUGGAAUUCCUGGUGUAGCGGUGAAAUGCGCAGAUAUCAGGAAGAACACCCGUGGCUAAGGCGGCUCUCUAGUACGGUACUGACGCUGAGACGCGAAAGCGUGGGGAGCGAACAGG
rnacentral:rRNA from 1 species